AUACGGAGGGUGCAAGCGUUAAUCGGAAUUACUGGGCGUAAAGCGUGCGUAGGUGGUUUGUUAAGUCAGAUGUGAAAGCCCCGGGCUCAACCUGGGAACUGCAUUUGAAACUGGCAUACUAGAGUAUAGGAGAGGAAAGUGGAAUUUCAGGUGUAGCGGUGAAAUGCGUAGAUAUCUGAAGGAACAUCAAUGGCGAAGGCAGCUUUCUGGACUAAUACUGACACUGAGGUACGAAAGCGUGGGUAGCAAACAGAAUUAGAAACCCUAGUAGUCC
rnacentral:rRNA from 1 species